rnacentral:rRNA from 1 species
AUUGAACGCUGGCGGCAUGCCUUACACAUGCAAGUCGAACGGCAGCGCGGGAGCAAUCCUGGCGGCGAGUGGCGAACGGGUGAGUAAUACAUCGGAACGUGCCCAAUCGUGGGGGAUAACGCAGCGAAAGCUGUGCUAAUACCGCAUAAGAUCUACGGAUGAAAGCAGGGGAUCGCAAGACCUUGCGCGAAUGGAGCGGCCGAUGGCAGAUUAGGUAGUUGGUGAGGUAAAGGCUCACCAAGCCUUCGAUCUGUAGCUGGUCUGAGAGGACGACCAGCCACACUGGGACUGAGACACGGCCCAGACUCCUACGGGAGGCAGCAGUGGGGAAUUUUGGACAAUGGGCGCAAGCCUGAUCCAGCCAUGCCGCGUGCAGGAUGAAGGCCUUCGGGUUGUAAACUGCUUUUGUACGGAACGAAAAGGUUCUUUCUAAUAAAGAGAGCUCAUGACGGUACCGUAAGAAUAAGCACCGGCUAACUACGUGCCAGCAGCCGCCGUAAGAC